CUGGGUGAGGGGAGUCCGCUCUGCGGCUCCACCACACUACCUACAGAACAGGAUGUGCAGGAGCGUUCUCCAGACUAUAGAAGAUAAGAUCUUCUGAUGAUACCAUGUACUGUAGAAGACGAGAUAUUCACCAUUUCCACAAUUUUACAUUGAGGAACAUUAUUCUGAAAUUUUUCCAUAAUUAAUAGACCUUGUUUUUCUGCUGACUAAUGAACUUCUGCCCAUCUUUAAUCCUCAGAAACUCUGCAGCUCUAAUGUGCUCUUUACACCCAAUGGUGUAAUUGAUCUGUUGCCAAUUAACCUACUUAGUUGCAAAACUGAACUUCAGCUGUUUCUUUUUAGUGCUACUUACUUUUCCAGCCUUUUGUUGUCCCUGUACCAAUAUUACAGAGAAACUGUACCUCUGUUGCUGAGCUGAGCUGAUAUUUUUAAUAAACCAAAGUAAAACGUCUCUGUUUAAACAUUU